AAGUUUGGAGAAUAGGCUAAGCACAUGGAACAAAUUGGGCACCACACUUGAAUUUGACUUGAAUAACCUGUAAAACCAUGAUAGAAGCAAUUUUAUUAAAUCCUAAAUAAAUGCAAAUUCCAAACUACUAAUAUAAAACUUAAUAAAAAUUAAAAAUAAAAAUUAAACUUGGGUUGCCUCCCAAUAAGCGCUUGUUUUACAGUCUUUCAGCCUGACUUUGUCUGGUCAACGCUAUCCAAUUCCUCUUCGAAAGUUGAGGAACCCUCCAUCCAUCGGAAAUAAUAUAGCUUUUGGUAGGUUCCCAUUUACGAUAGCCAUUGUAUUAAAGUCACCUAGC
rnacentral:lncRNA from 1 species